CUAAUCACAUAGUAUUUACUAUGACUUCUCAACAGCAUGUGUGCUUCUGCAAAAGUAAGUAAUUUAUUUCUAGAGUAGAGGCUUACUAUUAGUCUGAUUAUCUUAAAAUUUUCUUAGAAUAAUGUGUGAAAAAAGCUUUUUCUGAACAGAAAUUGUGGUCAUGUAUAGCUUACUUUUGACCCAUUCUAGUGUAGAAAGCAAGCAAAUUUGUUUCCAAUUUUUCAUAGAGUUAAGUUUUAGUUCAAUUUAUAUUUUUCAUAAUCCUUUUCACAUGUUGUUAUCUUUUAACUGAGUUGUAUUAUUGCCAUUUAUAAUAUCAACCCAAAUAAGUGUAAGGAAUAGAGGACACAAAGGAAAAGUAAGAAUAAACAACUUACAAUCUUAAUAAUUCUUAAUUAGCUGCUACUUUGGAUCCUUUAACCAUGGUGAUAAUUAAUGUGGAAAGCUCUGGAAGCCUUGGUAAGCUAGCUUGAUCAUCUGAAGAAUGCCGGUACUUAUUAGGGAAAGUUCAUGAUUCAUACAUCAGGAUUAAGCCAGGAGAAUCUUGUGACCUAAGCAGCCUGGCUCUCCUGUGGUAAAAAUGGGAUUUUCUUAUCUUACAAAAAAUGAUAAUUGUGACAGACAGGACACGUUUGGCUUAGGGGUGAGCAACACGCGGGCUGUAGGAAAUGGCUGGUUUGGCACAUUGCUGGUACCAUGACAGAAAUACAAAGUUAAACUGCAGCACACAAAGUGUUCCACAGAGAUGAAUCAGAACAUUUCUGAGAAAUGGUAGUGAGGAGAAUUGUAACAUGAAAUGUGUGGGGGGUUUGUUCUCAACGUCUGAGUUAGCCUUAAGAAAUUUUUCAUAAUUUUCCUGAUUUCCAUGGCAUCUAAGCACUUAAAUUCAAACACAUGAACAUUUAUCACAGUGUGGUAGGUGGACGAUUCUGGAUGUAAGAUUUGGAGGCAUGACAUGAAAACUAAUCCUUUGUCUAAUAGUAAAUAUUGACUUGACAGAGUCAGUCAGCUUCAAUACUUCAAUCUCCACAAUUGAGUUAUUUAUUAAACUUUUGAUAUGUAUGUUUGGAGCCUUGGAAAAAAAGGCCUUUGAAAUAUGAACAAUAAGGGAUUCACAGUGAGCACAUUGCAAACCAACUCACUGAGACAGUCACAGAAACACACUAUCCUUUUGCAGGGCUCAUUGACAUAAACAAUCUUGGUUAUAUUUAGAAACCUUGCCACCUCUAUUCUUCUCUCUUUUUUUUUUAGUGCUCUCACUGCAUUUGACAAAUUGAAGGGGGAAAUGGAGGUACAAAAGCUGUAACCUAAAUCGUCACUUUUUAACUGGAAUCUGCAGUCACAAGCAUGAGAAAAGUAAAAUACAUAUUGCUUUCAUUUCUUUUUAAAAAUGAAUUAAUAUCAGCAGGCAAAAAUGUAAUCAUUGUAUGUAACUGAUGAUCCUCUUGGCUUUUUUUAAAACCACUCUGGCAAAUUCCUUAUAAUUCUCAAUGCUGAGAUUUCUAGCAGGCAUUUGAGGGUUUCAGUGGUAGCUUUUGUGGGAACCACAGGGGUGGGGUCACAGCAAACUCCUUCCUGUGCAGUUGUGUAUCAUACAAAGCAGUUAUAAGGAAUGAUGAUGCAAGGGACAUACACAGACAGGCCACUCACUUUAAUAUUACAUCAGGGCGUUGGUUUGAGUUCUGUGGAGGAAAUACAUUUAAAACUUCAUGGAAAGAGAUGAUUUGUAGGAAAAAUUUUCCAUCGUUACACUGCUGUGCUUAGUCACAACAUCUCACAAUUAUGUGUAUUUACACUUUCCUUUUCCAUCCUGUUGAGUUGUGGUUAAAAUAAAAAAGUCACACCAUGAAAACUCUAAUCCAUAGCAGUACAUACAGCAAGUUCCAGUGCUACUAUAAAUUAUAUCUUUGGGACUAUUUACUAGAGAUGUUUUAUUUACUAGCAUCUAUUCAUGUAAUCAGUCUAAGUGCCAGAAGGUGUCUGCUACAAACAAAUGUCGGCCCUAGAAGUUUUGUGAGGAUUAUAUAAUCUUUCAAAAAUCUGUACAGUUUGUAUUGGGAAAACGAUUUAAUUAAUAUUUUAUUCUCAUUCCAAAGUUAUACUCAUUAUGAAUAUCACAAAUGUACAGAAUAUACAUAAUCCUGGCACUUGCACAGACAUGAAUCACCUCACUUUUCAACACAGAAUAGAACAUUUUACCCAUAAGAAAAGAAUAAGCAAAACAAGAAUUAUGACAAAAUUUAGAUUUUUAAAAUUUUCCCAUAAGCAUUGUAAAACAAUAGCAAAAUAUACUUUUAUUUCUUUUCAGCUGAGUAAAAAGAAUAAAAAUUCCUCAGUUCUACAUGGCAUUGUAUCCAGGCAGUCCUGUUUCUCUGUGGAGUUCCAUCACUGAAUUAUGUUCAAUGAAGAUUACAGGGCUCCGUGCAAAAGCACAGUUUGCACAGGGAAGAAUAACACAUUUAUAUAUAAUAAAAAAACCCCUACUUCUACAAUGUUAUACAGGUUUAGGAUUUAGAUUUUGAGCCAAAGCCUAUACUGAUUGUCUGCUUCUUAAUGGGUAUUGCCACUACCCAGAACUCAAAAUUAUAAAGGAUUUCUUCAUAAUAGGAAAUGGGCUGAACAACUCAAUUUUACAAAUACCUGGAAAAUAGAGAUUGUGGUAAAAACAAUACUGCAUUUUGCUGAGUUUUACCUUGUAGUAUUUAUUUUGACAACCUUUAAAAAUUUGAUGUAAGUAACUGAAACUCAGUCUUUAUCAACAUUUUAGGAAUGCGGUGUAUGGACUCUGUAAAUUCCACCAGUGCCCUUAAAUUCCACAGAGUGGGGUUCCCUACAGAGUGCUCUGCAGCAGGCUUGUAUCAGGAAACAGCUAUUUGCUUAAUCUUUUCUAAAUAAAUGUAACUUGGGCAUUUUUGUUAGCAGUAGUUAAUUUGGACAAUCUCAUUCUAAUGUGUCUUAAUUAGGAGAAAACCCAUUUUUCCCAGCUAUAAGUCAUUUUAGAUGUUGAACCAGUCCAGGUUUUCAAAGCUCUGACAUUAGGCUGAAAUGCAUUUUUCAAAUGGAGCAGAUUUCAUUAAUGACAAUUAAUGAAAAUGAUUUCAAUAAUGACAAUUAAAGUCAUGUGGUUAUUUAAAUAUACUUUUAUUUUCAGAGUAUAAAUAUUUUUGCAGUGAAAUUAUAGCCAAUUCUCUCAGAAAAUUGUUGUAAAGCUGAUUUUCUUGUAAAAGCGAGAGAGAUUUCUGCAUUAUUUAUAUACUCCUACACAUGAUAAAUGGUGUCAGUGCUGUCUUUUUUAUUAGCAUGUCUUUCCUACAGUAUUUAUGACAUUUGAGGAUUAAUAGUAUUGGCUGCAGUCAAGUGCAGAGAGCACCAUGAAGGCUUCUCCUAUGUAUUUUAACUAAACUCUUAGGCUAACAACUGAGUUUGCCUUUUCCAGUAAAUCCUUAAAAGAUUUUCUAUUGCAAUUUGUCCAUGCUAGUAAAGACUUGAGGAAUUCUGAUGGAAUUGUGUAUGUGUACUUCUUUGUUUUCGUGAAUAAGUGGUUAUCACAAUUAAUUCAAGCUAGUGAACAUUUUGCCAGAAAACUUCAACCCAAUAAUUGAAAGAUCUUACAGUGAACUAUAACCACAUUGUUUUCUGUCACUAACCACUAGUGAUUCAUGUAGGUCAUUGUAUGAAAAUGUGAUUUUUACAUUAUUCAUUCUAGUCAAGCAAUUGCUUAUGGAUAAACCUUAUGCUACAGGUAAAAAUCCAUUCAACAAUAGGGAGUAAGGGUUACAUUAAUAAUGGGUGUGUGUGAAGAGUGUUAAUAUUGAGUGAAAAUGUACAUUUGUAUAAAUGAAACAUAUUUGUUGUGCAAAGUGUGAAAUAACACCCACAAGCAAUACUUUCGAAUGUUAGUUUUAAGGACAAAAUGCAGUUUUCCUAGAUAAUUUCUAGAUUAUGCUACUCAUUUGACAGUGUUCUGCAGCUCAAAGCAAGUACCUGAGAUGUGUCUCUGGGAUUACAUCACAGCAGCUUUUUAGUUGGUCCAACUACUGGAAUAAUGCAAAAAUAAUUUUCCAGUUAUCAUGCAACAUGCUUUUUUAUAUGAAAGUCAAGUAAUCUCCUUCUUGCCUGAAGUCACAGCCUGGCCCAGGCAGUGUUUGCUGUGAAGAGAUGUACAGAUACAUAGCCAUGGGGCACUGCCCUCACACACACAAUUAUUCAUUGCAGAGGCAUCUCCCACUGCACCAAAGGAGCCUGUUUAAAUGUGGAAUUAAGCGUAGGAUUUAUGGUGAAUUUGUUGUGUCCUCUCCUCCUAAACCAAUAGGAGUAUUCCAGAGGAAUGAGUACAAAGAAAUUGCCAUUAGUAAUAUCUAAAAAGUCAUCAUCCUUAUUUAUUCAGUGUGUUAAUCCAGCUUGUAGAGUCUGUGUUCCAGAGAGAACCUCCCCUGGGACAGGCACCAGCCAUUUGUAUCAACCAGCAUUUCCAGUCUCCAAUGUUUAAUCACUCUGCAUUUAAUAGGAGAGGGACCUGACCCUUCCUGUUCAGUACAGUUGUACGAAUUGGGAUUUUAGUUUUAUGAAUAUAGCAAAACCCUUUCAAUUUGGUACCUAAUUAGGUAUGAAAAGGUUAGCAUGGAUAAUUCCUUCACUUUUGUACUGGUUUCACAGACUUCAGACUUACUAAUUCUCCAGAUUCUGCAAGAAUCGUGGCCAAAAUCUCUUGAAGUUUCAUGUUAUUGCCUGUCACCAGUACUGUUUGCUUUGUUGAAGUGAAACCAAAAUCAGCUUAGGCACACUGAAUAUGUUAAAGGGAAUUUGGUCUGGGCUUCCAGUUGAUUUAAAAGCAAAUCAGCCUAUUCAAACCAAGACUCUUUUCAUAGAUUGAGAUUUGGUUUUUAAUUCACACUGGUUUCUGUGACACUUGUAAUUUAUAAAAGUGAUUUUUAGGAUGAAAUAUAGAAAUAGGGACUCAGGAUAAAAUGUUCUGUCAAAAGAACAUUUUGCUGUAUUUCAUUACAAGUAAAAUGGUCUCACAAAUCUACUUAUUUAAAGUACAUUUGUGAGACCGUAAACUUAUGCUUGUGCAGAUCAGUUUCUGAUUUCAAAGCCUUGUAGAGCUGUCAGAUAAUAGAGACACCUGUUUCUGCUGGGGUUUUUUUAUGACUCAUACCACAGGGAUUUUUACAACACAAUGUUUAGUGUAUACUUUUAUACUGUAGAAAGUUUUACCAAUAUGAUAAUAAUGACAUAAAAUCUUAAUGCCAGUAAUUUCACAGAGACAAUUACUGACUGUUUUGUCAUUUAGACUUUAUUUUUUAUCAUGUUACUUCCUGUGAGUUAAAUGUCAAGUUGCUUUAUUUUUUUAUGUGAUAUUAGCCUUGUCUAGUUCAAUUUAAAAUGUGUUUAUAGGUGGAAAUUACUUCUGCAUGAUAAAUGCAUUAUGUUUUCUAUAUUUAUGCUCAAUUUAUUUUGUCAUUUAGAGUAUCUGUAGGUUGCAGAUUUACAGAUUAAGAGAUCUGUGCAGUUUAUAAAGUGGUGUCAUAUAUAGAAUAGGCAGCCAAAAUGAGACAAUAUUAGAAUACUUUUUUUAAGGAUUUCUUCUGAUCUUGUAUGUAAGAAAAAUAAUGUGCUAAAAAUAAUGUGCUGACUUUUCAUUUUUUUAAUCCUCUAAGGAACAUAGUGACUUUAAGGAUAAUUAAUACCUCCUUACUUUGGAUGUCCAAAAUCUAGGGACCAUGAUAAACAAGAGGACUAUUUAUCAGUGAAGAGUAAUGGUACUGUCAAGGAGUUAUUCAUCCCCUCACAUGAUAAGCCUCUAAGGUAGGUAGGACUCAAAGAGGAAUUUGCUGAGUUUUGAAAGAUUCUACUCUGAAUCUGGAUUUACCUAAAAAACCAGACACCAUCCUUAGGGGGGUUAAGCUGUUAAGUCACCCUACAAACAUUAAAACAUGGGUUUUAUAGAAAAGAGGUAUUGCCUUUGCAUCUCCUAAAGCAAACCACAAGUGUGUAUAUGAAUAUACACACCUACAUAUAUACACACUGGUUAGGUCUUGCUCCUUAAAUGAUCAUUUGUUGCUAUGAGGCAGAACCAGGUACAAUGCAUUUGCUGCAUUCUGAAAUGUUUGCUCAUUAUUUUAAUCACUUACAUUUAGACCUUGGCUAACAAUCGAUAUGGCUGUAAAUCUAAAAAUUAAGCAGAAAUAGAUAGUUCAUUUAUAGGACUACAUAUCAUGUACUUCCCAUAUUAUCAAAAAUCAUUGAAUAAAGAUUUAUUAAAUUUUUAAAAUUUGUUACUUGACUAAGAACUAAAGUAGUCAUGCCCUGUAGGAAUGCUUUCUAGUACUCUCCUCAGUUUAUACUCCUCUGUAAAGAACUUACCAGUCAGCUCUGUAGUAUUUUUUCCACAGAGAAGGACUGUAGUCUUUUAGUUCCAUUCAUCGUUACAUUCCAUUUGCUGCUUUACUAGGACAUCCUGGCUUAGGGCACACAGGAUUACAAAGUGUUCCAAGUAUUGUAACAGGAAAGUAAUACAUUCACAAAAAUUCUCAUUAAAGUCCUUAUCUUCAAGUUACAAAAGGCUUCACUUUUUAAUGAUUAAAACCCACAUACUGAAGCAGCACAUACUUAGAGAAUGAUUCUGACAGUACUUGGGUUGCAUGGAUUUGGGAAGAUCCUCUCUUUGCUACCCCAUUCUUGUGCCUUGGAGCCCUUUUACUGCAGUAAUAAAUACUGAACUAUUACUCAGGAAUAUAAUAUGUGUUUAGCAAUGCCUAACUAACACAUCUCUUAUUAAAACAAUUUCAAUAUGGAAAUGUACAGUUUUAAAUGUAGAAGAUCAAAUUAUAUUUGGGGUUGUACAAGGUGAGUAAGGCUACAAGUACAACUAAAUAGCACCUUUGCAUGAAAGGUGUUAUUUAUUUCUUGCAAUUUAUAUAUUGCAAGAAUUAUGUUUGUUUCAUAAUAAUCUGUAAGGAUUCUUAAUUCAUACUAUAUUACUUUUAAAAUUCAGAAGGAACUCCAUGUAAUUCUAACCACAACUGGAAUACAUGAUGAAGGAGCAGAAUAAGUGCAUUAGCUGGGCAGCGAUAUAUAUCAGAGCUUGUUGGGAUGAAUUCCUGUGCAGUGCACCACCUCCUAGCCAUUACUUCAGAACAGCUUCUCCACCUCCAAGUUCCCUACAACACAUUCUGAAAUGAGGAGUUUCAGAAUCAGGUCCUGCUUCCAAUAUGCAUCCUCCAAAAAACAAACAAACAAACAAACAAACCCCCUGCUGGCCUAUUGUUUUAAAUGAAGGGGUCCUUGAAGUGCCCUUGUAGAUUACUUUUGCAAUGAUGUGUGAAACCCAACCCAAUCUAAUAGAGCCUGAUUUAAAAAAAAAAAAAAAUCUCCUUUGGCCAGGAAAAUGAGUCUAAAGUGCUAGAUAAGUGAUCUUUUAUGAUAUACAAGCUUUAUUCUACCGUAAACAUUGAAUCUGUCAGACCCAAUGUAAGACAAAUGUUAUCAAACAAUAUUCCUUCCAUUUUAUCUUCAUUUUAUUAGCUCCUUACAGCACAGACUAAGCAAAACAUUCUUAAACCUCAGAAGACAAAUGCUAUCUGUCUGUUUUCUGUUUUCUGCUUGCCAUAUGUGAUCUAUUCAUCUUAGGAAAUACCCUCAGCUAAGCUGGUGUGAAGUUGAAAGACAGUUGAUUCUUUAAGCAGUGUGAUGCUCCUGUAGGCAGCCAGUCAGCUCAUCUGGGACAUUUCUCCUUGUUCCUGCAUUCUCACAGGUUACUAUUUAUGAUACAAGCCUGCAUAAAUUCCCAUAAUGAUCCAUUAGUAACCUGCUUUCUUCAUGCCACAGUCAAGGUACAGUAGUUUCAUAAGAUGUGUUACCUGCUGAUUAUCACGAUACAGACUUUGACAAAAUCUGCUGAUUGUCACACAAAGGUCUGCUGCUGUUAAAUACCACACCCUUUGAGGAAUUUCAUUGCACUGCAAGAAGCUUUUAACUUCACAAUAGACUUAAAUUGAAAUGUACACCUUAUAGACCAUCUUCUCAGACUGCUCAUGUUCUGAAUCUUAGAACUGCUCUUAGCAGCAGUUGCUUAAUAGUGGAACUGUCUCCUAUACCAAGAGACCUCUAAUUUUAGUGUCCUGUUUUAUAAAGGCCAUAUCCCACCCCUGAAUUUACAUGUAUGUCACUGUCUGGUCUGUUGUCUAACUUUUACUAUUCUAGACUGGAGAACCAGAGGAAGCCAGAAUAAGCAAAUAAAUAUGCGAAUUUCAUAAAUAACUGAGUGAAAAAUAAUUUAUUAAAUUAUUGAACUUGUUUAGUUAAUGGAAAAUAUGUAACAUGCCAAUAGCAAUACUUCUGUGCUAUUAGCCUCAGAGUAGUUCAGCUUCAAAAAUAGUAACCCCCAGUCGACUAAUAUUAAUAUGGCAAAUAAAUAUGCUACCAAGAAAAUUUAAUAUUUUCAAGGAAGCCAAGCAUCUGCACAUAAACAAUUUCUGCCUUUUAGCAGAUUGUGAUUUAGUGUCUAAGAAUACAGAAGGGGAAAAAGCAAUUGCUCUUUCUCCUUCAAAACAGACAGGAGUGUGUUUACUUUCAUCAAAUAUCUGAAUGUGCGACACUCUGUCAUGAGCAUUCAGUUGUUAUAAAACUUUUCAUUCUUUUCCAUAAACAUCCUGCACAUGCAUCUCCCAUGACUGUGCCCUCAAUAAAGGAGGAAGGAAGCCCUGAAAGACUGUCAGUGUAUUCAGUCUGAGCUCCCAGUGGGAAGCCAAGGCAAAGGACACAAUUCUUAUACAAUGGGCAAAGGUACCUACAUUCCACAGUGCCAAGCAACCAUCAAAUCCAGAAGUUCCUAGUCCUUACCCUUGCCCUACUUCAGGCAUCUGGGAAUCAUUGAAGUCUUGGAAAUAACUGAAAAUAUUACCUGACUGGAUGCUGAUCACAUCUUGCUAACGUGUACAUUUAAUCUUAUCCUAAUUUUCUUGUCCCUUUUACCCCAUAUUGUGAGACAGGAUAUUAAAGUAAGUUCUUAUGCCUUUGACAAAGUGUAACAGUAUUUGCCAGACAAAAUGUCAGAAUUUUCUCCUAGAUGCGUUGUUAUUAUUUCUCUAGAGCCAUAAAAAUUGGCAUACCACAAAUGUCAACGGUGCCUUAAAGUCUGUCUUAGUGGGGGAAAGGAACUAUAGCAUAGUAAGAGAAUAAACCCCAAAAUUUUUCUAAAAUAAUUGUUCAAUAAAACAAAUUAUACAAAAAAGUCAUUACAGAUAUAGGCGUCUUCCUGCAAUCUAGUAAGACCUUUUUGCUUAUGUUUUUAUCAUCUGUGAUUUAAUAUAGCCACAUUCAAGUUUUGCCAGUACACUCUGAUCCUACAUUACUGAGUUAUCUCUUUGUUUCUCCUUAUUUAUAUUAUAUUGCAUUGCCAAACUAAAAGUGCCAUUUGGGAUGUAUGGCAAUAUUUGUUUUGGCAGAUCUUAGUUCAAAUACAGAUUUGGUAACAAUAUCAAAAGUCAAACACUAUCAAGAGUAAAACACUAUCAAUUUGUUGUAAGGCAUGUAUGCCUACAUCAGAAAAAUAAUCAGCAAAAAUUUAAUUAGGCAACUGCUAAAUUAAAGGAUACUUAAAUACACUGUAUUUAGUUUUCAAUAACUACAACAGACAAAAACGUGGAGACAAGAUCUCAACAUCUACAGUUAAUGUGAAAAGACACCAAGCAGAAGAGACCAUGUCACUAAACCAAAUUCUGCCUGUUGUGCCAUGACUUUAACAGAGUUCCUUGUGAGUGUAGAAUUCAGUCUGCUAUAUCUGUACCACCUGAAAAUACAGACCCACAGAGCAGUGGUGUAAGUUUACAAAGGAGGCAGACACAUUGAGGAAUUUACUACAAACAGAAAGAAAAAUUAUCUAUAGCAAUGAAAGCUCCAGUCACUAAGAAUAGAAACCCUUUUUUCAGCAGAACUGUUUUUGGCAUUGACCAGUCAUUUUUCAUUUUUCAGCAGCACAUCAGAACUUUCUACCAUGUUUAUCUCUUGUUCAAAUGAACUAAUAAACUCCUGAUACAACUCUUAAUACCCCUUAUCAAAUUGUCACGCAUGGCAGUGUUUGUUAACUUGCAACAAGAAAAUGUUUAUCUUUUUGCUACAGUCAAAGCAAGCAGCAGAACUGAAAGUUGAUGUAAGGAGCAGCUGGCAAGUGGCCUGAAGUCUAGAAACUUUGCUUUACUCUUAUAUUUUUCAGUUCCCAUGGCUUUUCUCAGCCCAAAUUUUUCUGUAUUCCUGAUGCUAAAGAUUGGCAAUAAUAAUUUACAGCCUAAAACAUAGUCCAAAAUCAGGUACAGCACCUUGACUUUAUUAUUUGUUCUUUCCAACUUUUUAACACCUGAGUGUUAAAUGCAUACAUCAGGACUGGGAGAUGCAGAAUCAUCAUACAGAACAAAGUCCCUGUCUCCCAAAUAUAUCUUAAACUCCAUGUUUUUGCUGUAAUACUGCAAUAGUCUGGUCCUUUAGCAUAAAACAAUUAUUUUCAAGUGCUCUGUAGGCAGAAUAGGAAAAUAUAUUUUUCUGUUCUCCAUAAAAAGAUGAAAACUUGUAAUAAUGUCAAUAUCACCCAAUAUCGUGCUUCAUUAGAAAUGUUUUGGUUUUUUUUUUUUUUUUUUUGCAAUGUGAUAAAACUUGCUAUUACAGGAAUUGUAAUAUACUCUGUGGAUUUGCUGUUCAAGGAUAUAUACAAUAUAUAAUACUCUGCUGGUAUUAACUCCUAGAGAAAUCAGAUAAAACUGUCUCAUUAAAGCAUGACUGUUUUGUUUGCCAACCAGAGUUGUAGGCAGAUUUUCAGUUCCAUUAGUAACAGUGAUAAAGGAAAUUCUCCUUGCGAGUUGGUUGAGAUGAAACUCAAGACGCAGCAGUUCACCAUCUUUGCUAUCUUGUGGGUGACAUCUGAGAAAAAGUCAGUGAAAUGAUAAAAUAGCGGUGACAAAAGUGCAGUGUGCUGUGCCUGCUGAGCAGCCGCAGCUGCAGCACAAAGGACAGAGGCGCAGGGCAGCCCUGCAGGAGCGACCGGGGUCCCCCAGCUCCCGGGGGCUGCCAGGCACGGCCCCAGCCCCGCCGCAUCUGGGGUGUGCUGGGACAGCCUGCUAAAGGUGGCCUUUGGGACACUGCCUCCACACUGCGGUGUGCUGGGACAGCCUGCUAAAGGUGGCCUUUGGGACACUGCCUCCACACUGCGGUGUGCUGGGACAGCCUGCUAAAGGUGGCCUUUGGGACACUGCCUCCACACUACAGGCACGGCCGGGUCCUGCUUUACAGGAAAAUCCAGAGGCUUGAGCAGCCCAACUGGUGCCAUUUUUCCACUGACACAGCCCCCUCGGGGAUGUUUACAAGGGCUUUUAUCAGGAAAUUGCAGCUGUGGCUCCGUCUUUACUUACCUCUAGUUUUGGGUGGGUUUUUUGACUUCUUGGAACGUUCUGUUUAUGAACUAGAUAAUCUGGAAAGGAGGAGGUAGGAGUGGAGCUGGCACAGAAAGAUAGGGUGUGUUUAAGGCCAGAGCUGACUAUUCCAGAUCAAAACACAUUCUGGAAUCGGGUGGCAGCUGCAUUGCUCCCUCUGACAGGUGAAGUGCUGGCACAUGCCACCUGCCUCACCUGGGUUCCAGUCGGGGCAUUUGGCAGCUCUUUGUCACAGGUCAGAGGGCAAAUCAAGGCCUGGACCUUGAAAGCAGAACCUCCUGCUGAAACAUUCACCUCCUGCUCAGACUGGAACCAGAACUCUGGAUAUAGUUUCAUUUCAGAUAUGUUUGAAGAAGGGAUUUGUUUCCCUUUUUGUUUUAGACACAUCCAGAGUCUUAACAGAAUAAAAUGGUGGCAUUCUGGUACAAAUUAAAAUAAAUGCAUAAAAAAGGAUUUUAUAUGAAUUAUCAAAAUAUUAAAGCUAGACUAUUUGAGCAUGAGCCCAGAUUAUAUCACAAAGUCCACGUUUGAUUCAGACUACAGUCUAGGGAUCUUGUGGGCUCACUCAGUUCUCCAUAUUGCCAACUUCAGUCAUGGGAUGAUUUUGUUAUGGAUUGUUCAGCACUCCAAAAUGACUAGCACAGAUUCUCUGGAUUCAUAUAGGAAUAUCUUAUUGCUUCCUCUGAAUCAAAAUUAAUCUGCUGCAAUCUUGUUUGGUAUUUACACUGUUCUCACAGCAGAGAUCUCUAAAAGCUUCAGACAGUACUCAUAGCAAGGCUGUAGAUUUUGCUUUUAAAGGAAUAUACAAAAUACAAUCUGUCAUUGGAAAAGUAUGGAAAAUUUUGAAGUGGAUUUUCCUUAAAAAAACCCAAACCCCAGUGUCAACAAAAUUAAUUUUGGCUAGGAAUUCCAGUUUUUUAGUAAAUUAUAAUUUACUAAAAAACUGGGUAAUCUCACCUAUUAAGUCUAACUACUGAAUAAAUUAAUAAUCUCCUAACAUUUCAGCUUCUAUUUUAAUUUCUUAAUUAUAAAAUAGGCCCUAUCUUGAUGAAAGUCUGAUUAAAAAUAUGUGGUUUCUUUUAAUGAUUUAUAUUCACUUUCAUUGAUUCCUUGUGUUGCUAAAGUGUAUAUACACAGUUUUCUUCCAGCUAUAGCUGAAAUUCUGUCAGCCAUGGACUUCAUAACUGACAUUUGCACUUGUUGAUAAUAUAGUGAUAAAGAUCCACUUUAGUCAGAAUCUUGGCUCUAAUUAUUUAAAUUUGGGAAUAAAGUUGUAUAUAUUCAAAAGUUAAGGAAAAAUAAAACCAUUUAAACAUCUUUAAUCAGCCAUAAAUGGCAACAAAUUAACAAAGUCUGAAACAGUUUAAUGUAAUUGAGAAAUGUGAUAGUAACCAUUUAUUCAUGGAGCUUAUUUUUGUAUGCACUUCUGCUUCCAUAACUAAGCAUUCAAUGAAAAGCUCCAUUGCAGGUUGUGAUGAAUCGUUCCUUCCCCUUCUGGCCACAUUCUUCUGCUUUAUUCUGUAUUUUAUAUGUUAUUCUACAUUCUAUAUUCAUUCUGUUUAUUAUUCUAUAGACUUAUUUACAAUAUGUGAAUAGUGGUUUCUUUCUUGCAGUUGCUGCUCCCUUUGCUAUAGCUCUUCCCUUUCCCACCUCUUUCUCUAGCCCACUGUGGAAUUAGGUGGCUUUAUCUGAGCUUUCCUGAGCAGCCUCCUUGUGCCACAGCCCAGAGCUGCUGCCUGUGCUCAAAGCCUGGCUCUGGAGUCACCUCCCCCCAGGUGACAGCACAGGAGCUGCACAGGGACCCCUCAGAAUGGACUGGAGCAGAACUGACACUGUCUUAAUUUGGUAACAAACUGGAUCUAACACACUGGAAGUGAAAUACCAUAGCAAAUAAAUAAAAAAACCCACUAUUACAACGGAUCAGCCAAGGUCUGUAUUCUGAAUAAUGUUUUAAAUAGUCUACAUACAGUUGAGGCAGUGUUCAAAACUUGAGAUAAAAAUGGGUUUAUUCAAUACAUAAAUGAGAUUAAUGUCUCGUAUUCAGUCUCUUUAAUAAUUACAUGUCAUUUCUUCUACUUUUGUUUCUCUGUUAUGAGACUGUUGGUAAUCAAGAAUAUUAUAUAUAAUAAAAAACUAAAAUUUUGUUAAUGCUCUUCCAUUUUGUAAAAGAAUCAAAAUAUUCUCUCUUACUCAUUUCUUGGCACAUAACAAAUACUUAAUAUCUUUUCCAUUGUGGAAAUUCUACUCAAAAAAUUACCUACUUGCUACUGUUCUAACUUUUAGAGCAAUUUGCUUGUUCCUGUUAAUGUCUCUUGGCCCCACAAUUAAAAGAAACUAAAAUCUCUAAGAUGAGGCUAAUAAAAAUAUCUGCUUACGUAAUAUUUAAGAAAACAAACAGAGAAAGAAUAUUAUCUUUUACAAAAUGUUUGACACUGAAACCUGCUCACAGUCUACUCCCAAUGUGCUGUUAGCUGCAGUGGACAUUUUUACAGAUGAGUUUUGCAGUCCUUCCUCUGAGGCUAUAUCAGAUCCAAAGAUUUUUGUGACAUACUGUUUCAUACCAAAUUAUUUAAAUACUUAAAAUAAACAAUUUGAAGGAAGUAUUUGAAUUCAGAAAUUUAAGUACACAUCUCAAACCCUAUGCUUGAUUCCAUUUUCUAAUGCUUAUUCUUCAGUAAUAAAAAUGUAUAAAACAAAAUUAGUUAUAUGUUAUUUGCUGUUGUGUGCUUUUUUAAAAAAAACAUUUUCUUUUAGAUGGAGAGUCUUUACCUAGGAGUGUCACUUGGAAAUCAAAAGAAUGCUGAACAUACACCUUGGCAUGCUUAGAAUAAAAACAUGCAAGAAACUCUAGUGAGUUUUUGACUAAUGACUAAUAUUAAUAGUUCAAUUAGUUUCAUACCUUGUAAGUAACUGUAAUUAUAAAGGCUGGAUAAGCCUCAAGCCAGUCUGUGUUAUACCUUCCAUUUAUGUCAGAAGGUGCUAGGCAUCAACUUGUGAUCAGUAGUCCAAACAGGAGUGCUGAAAUAUUGAUAUGAAAAUUUCAAACUAAUGUAAUGACUGUUUUCUAUUCUCUGUCUGUACAUUAAUUUGAAAUGCUGUUGCAUCUUGCAGUGUUUUGUGUUGAAGGAUAUAUUCCAGCAUGUUUUGACCUGUGAAUACAUAAUCGUUCAAUACUGCUCAUUCUAUCCUUCUAGAAAGGAAUUUUCUUGUUACUGUAGUAUUUCUCUGGGCAGCAAAAGUUCUGAGCCUCAGUCAUAUCAGCAAGGCUGAUUUGGGACCUGUUGGACAUGACUUGACCUGUAAGAUUUUGCUGAGUGAAAAAUGAGACACAUUCCUACAGCAGAACGAAGAAAAGCAUCUCCCUGGAGAUUAAACUUUUAUAUAAAAGUGGUAUGGUGAAUCUACCCAGUUAGUUUUUUUCCUAUGUUACCAAAUAUUUUGAAGGGUAUUUAAAGAUAUUAGCAGACCCUGUCAGAGGGACCAUGUGACACCCUCUAUAGUUUAUGUUAAAUGAGUCAGUGAAGUCAAGAGUACAUUUAACACAAAACAGUGACAGUGCUGUGUGUGCCCCACACUCGGCUACUGAAAUAAAUGUUACCAGCACUGCACGUGUCAAACUGAUGAUGUAUUGCUCUGCAAGACCAAGAGAACAACAAACCAUGUUUACAUGUGUAUGUUCUGCCUUCUCCUUCCAGAACCAGAAGAUGCAGGCUCCAGGGGAACCUACCAGCCAGCAGGAAUAAGCUGUACCUGGGACAUCCCUGGCCAUCUCUCCCUUGCUGGGAGGAGCCACAGGGCAGGACUGCAUUCCCAAUGGACUGUGCCUUCCUCAGAAGCCUCAGCAAGAGGUACUGCCACACAAAGACCUUCUGAGUUGAGUAAGCAUAGAAUACCUGACAACCCACAAUGUCUUCUUCAGGCAUAAUCGUAAGUUUAUUUUGAGACUGUAUAAAAUAUGAUUUUAAUAUUUUGGUGCAUUUAAAUAAAUGUACUGGACAGAUCUAUGCAUUUGAUAAAUGACCUGAUGUGUGUUUCCAAAAGCAGUAAAUAUUCUAAGUGAGGCUCACUUACAACAGUCAUUUGAGUUAGCCUGCAAAACAUCUGUCAUAUUUUCAGAUACAUAAAUGCUAAAUUCUUACAUAAAAAGUUAGUUGUACCAAAAAAAUCAAGCUCUCACUCUUAAGCCAAAACAGACCCCUCUUCAUAAUCCCAUGCAGUUAUCAGCAUGUCCCUUGGAUUUAUGACUUAUGACAUUUAUUUACCAACAGGUGGUUGCAUAUCUUGCCAUUUAUAUUUUAAGCAACAGUAAACACAACUAAAAAUAAUAUAAGACAAGCAAAAUAAAACUCAGUGGUGUUUUUAAAGUGUUUUUAGAGAAAAGCUGUAUUUAUAAGCUAGGUCUUCAAGUAGUUCUCACCAGGCCCAGCAAUACAGAAGAAUACUGCAAGAGCAAUAAGGAUUUUUAGGGGCAUUAUGAUAGUGUAAUGGAAACACAUCUGCCCCCAAAAGUCCCUCAUUUUCCCUGCGGUUAAAAGCCAUGCAGGAAGUGGUGAAUGCUGUGGAACAUCAAGAAUGAAACUAUAAAGAAAAGAUUUUUAAGUUAGAACAACUUUCCAACAAUACCUCAGGAUUUCAUCAUUUUCUGUUAGUCCACUGGAUGGUAAAACUGUAGUUUUUCAAGGAUCCUCUAAUUCAUUAGCUCUGGAUGUAGAAAAUGGUUCUGUCCAUGCAAUAAAGUGAAUUUUGAGGCAGCUAUCUUAGAAAUACUAUUUUAAAAUACAUUUUGCAUGAAGACAAGACAGGACAAGUUUUCUUCUUUCAGCUAUCAAAAAAAAAAAACAAC